rnacentral:lncRNA from 1 species
AUGCUUGGUUGGGGAUGGACGUUCGGUGGAGGUGAUCCAAGAUACCUAGAUUUUGGGUAUUCCUCUCUUCCACUGGCCGACCUUUAUCAGCAUUGAGGUGGGUGACCAUAUGAGGGUAUCUAACCUCAUUACUGUUGAUGGCUCCAGCUAGAGAAGAGAGGAGAUCACUCGGCUCUGUGGGGGCCCACUUACGGAGCAGAUCUUUGCCAUCUCGAUUCCAAUGCACUUCACUGAGGAUGCGAGGGUUUGGGGGCGUUCCUGUUGCCUC